AAAAGGAUUAUUUAUGUUUGAUACGAAUUUAUUUGCUGAUUAGUCAGGGGAACCUGCAAUGGAAACAUAGUAAAUUAAGACAUCCCAUAUAACUUAAAAUUAAAGAGUUUAAUGCGGAGGAAAAAACAUUGGUCGAAUUCACUCAUCGUCCCCAAAAGAGAUUUCUGCAACUU
rnacentral:rRNA from 16 species